AAGCACCAACGACUGUGAUGUUGUACAUGCAUUUGGACGGUCAGAUGGUGGGCCAAAUUUAGUUAAAAGCUUCCUUCUCUUCACAACUUCGUCUUCAUCUUCUUCAAAUCCAAAAUUCCAAUUAAACAAGUGAGUGAGAGGGGAGGUUGAGAGCAGAAAAUAGUAGAGAGAGAAAGAGUGUGUGUGUGUGUGUGACGCACCAGAAUAGAGUACACGUUGUGUGUGUAUAACAGAGAGAAGAAACUUUUUCUUCUCUCCGAGCUCUCAAAUUGUAGCAGCAAGCUCUAGAACCCAAAACUGUUGCUGCUGCUGCACCUGAAUGACACCUCUAUUCAGGAGCCACUAUGUUAUGGGUGUUGGUUCCUUAAUGGGACAUGUAGUUCGGUUGUCCUUAGGGACUCUGGGCAAUUUGAUAUUCAUGUUCUGGGGGCGACAUGGAGAGAUUUGAGAGAAUUGCAUUUGUAUUUUUAUCUGUAAUUGUAUAUUUGUGAGCAUUUGCACACCCACCCAUGACUCGUUAGUAUCCCAUUUGUGCUCUUUGAAAAUAUGUGUAAGCGAUUACCCGCGUAAAUUUGUAAUCAGUGGAAUUUAAAUUAAAAUAAUAAUUGUAGUAAAACUAUGUCAAAAAACGAGUUUGGUUUUGGGUGCGUGAGUUAUGUAAACCCAUCGAGUACAGUAUUGAGCGUCUUUGUAAUAGUUUAUAUGAUAUGAACAUUUGACUUGGAUAUGAAUAUUGGUUAUGGGAUUUGACUAUGGCAUUUGAUUUGAUGUGGUAAUUAAAUAGGAAACUCUUGUUUUUCAAGUAUGCAUCAAUGAAGGUUUUGAAACGUAUUUGUGUUGCAUUAUUUCAUUCUAUCUUACUAAGCAUUAGAACUCACCCAAAUCUAACC